rnacentral:rRNA from 1 species
AUUGAACGCUGGCGGCAUGCCUUACACAUGCAAGUCGAACGGCAGCACGGGGGCAACCCUGGUGGCGAGUGGCGAACGGGUGAGUAACAUAUCGGAACAUACCCUAGAGUGGGGGAUAACGUAGCGAAAGUUACGCUAAUACCGCAUACGAUCUAAGGAUGAAAGUGGGGGAUCUUCGGACCUCAUGCUCAUGGAGUGGCCGAUAUCUGAUUAGCUAGUUGGUGAGGUAAAGGCUCACCAAGGCGACGAUCAGUAGCUGGUUUGAGAGACGACCAGCCACACUGGAACUGAGACACGGUCCAGACUCCUACGGGAGCAGCAGUGGGGAAUUUUGGACAAUGGGGGCAACCCUGAUCCAGCAAUGCCGCGUGAGUGAAGAAGGCCUUCGGGUUGUAAG